GACGAACGCUGGCGGCGUGCCUAAUACAUCCAAGUUGAGCGCUGAAGGUUGGUACUUGUACCAACUGGAUGAGCAGCGAACGGGUGAGUAACGCGUGGGGAAUCUGCCUUUGAGCGGGGGACAACAUUUGGAAACGAAUGCUAAUACCGCAUAAAAACUUUAAACACAAGUUUUAAGUUUGAAAGAUGCAAUUGCAUCACUCAAAGAUGAUCCCGCGUUGUAUUAGCUAGUUGGUGAGGUAAAGGCUCACCAAGGCGAUGAUACAUAGCCGACCUGAGAGGGUGAUCGGCCACAUUGGGACUGAGACACGGCCCAAACUCCUACGGGAGGCAGCAGUAGGGAAUCUUCGGCAAUGGACGGAAGUCUGACCGAGCAACGCCGCGUGAGUGAAGAAGGUUUUCGGAUCGUAAAACUCUGUUGGUAGAGAAGAACGUUGGUGAGAGUGGAAAGCUCAUCAAGUGACGGUAACUACCCAGAAAGGGACGGCUAACUACGUG
rnacentral:rRNA from 1 species